GGUGCUGUCACGUAAUUCAAAUUAUUCUCGCCAUUCACCGCCUAAGCAUCUCCUCUAUUCUGCCGUUUUCUCCCUUCUUGCUCUUCUCCCGCGCUGAUUUAUUUGUCAAAUUAGAUAUAUCAAACUGGAUCUGACAAUGUUAAGGCUCCAAAUGGAGACAGUAUUGCUAAUCAGGAGUUCCUUUUAUUCUUUCUCUCGUUCUGCUACAAAAGCGCUUUAUUGAUUACAGGGAGAAUGUAAUCAAAUUAUUUAGAGAUGACAGAAAGUAAAGUUUCUACCAGCAGUGAAUGUGAGGAGUCGGAUCUGUAAACUAUAAAACUGAAUAAGGAAUUAACGGAAUUAACAAUACAUUUUAGUAUUCUACACCCCGACCUGUGUGAAGGAUGGGCGUCGACACCAGCCUACAGGAGAAUGUGGUGGCGGCGGCCUGCGUGGUGCUGGUGGUGGCAUUCAUCGUCUUCCUGUUGGUUGUGGCCCGCUCAGUGAUCGUUAAGUGGCCCCGCCUCACGGAGGAGGAACUGUUAGAGGUGGAGCCGAUGAACCGCCGGAUGGACGUCUGGUCCGUCCAACAGGCAGAGUCCUGCAGUGUGGAUAUAGAAAAUCUGGAAACCGACGGAUUUGUUGAACACUAGGUGUUGCUCUGCGACUGAUCCAAUACAAUCAAACAAGAUAAUGAAAGAAAUAAUGAAUUAGAAUCUUGUGUAAUUUCAAACGGUUGCAACAAGUUUAAACUUGAACUUCAAACUAUUAAAUAUGGUGACACUUUGGAUAUUUUUCACUGAAGCAGCUUAUUUCUAAAAUUAGCAUAGCCAAGCACUGAACUGAUACUUGGCAACUUCUUGUAACUUUGAAAUCCAUGUCCAAUGUAAAAAGAUGAAGUUUGUUAUCCUCAGCUAACGGUUUGUUAUUGUCUCUAGUUACUUUUCAAAUCUUGCUGUUGCAUGAGCAUUAUUGUUUGUCUGUGCACAAUCUGAAUUGCCAGUAAAUACCAGAAAAUAAAAGUUAUUAAACCACACAAUAUUUUUUCACAAAUAUUUAAUUCUUCAAAUAUUCAAAUAUCAUACAUCUGAAUGUUCUGCCUUAUAUAAUACAAGAACAUGUGAGUGUUUCUGUGUCAAUAAAACUUCUACGGCACAAAGCAUAACAACAGCUACAAAUUUUCUUGAGUAACAAAUAUAAAAUUUGAUGUCUUAAUUCAGUUCAAAAACUCUGAAGCAA